rnacentral:rRNA from 1 species
UGGGGAAUCUUGGACAAUGGGGGCAACCCUGAUCCAGCGAUGCCGCGUGAGUGAAGAAGGCCUUCGGGUCGUAAAGCUCUUUAGGUUGGGAAGAAGGAUGCGGGAGGAUAAUUUCCGUAUUUUGACGGUACUAACAGAAUAAGCACCGGCAAACUCUGUGCCAGCAGCCGCGGUAAUACAGAGGGUGCGAGCGUUAAUCGGAAUUACUGGGCGUAAAGGGCGCGUAGGCGGUUUAUUGGGUGUGAUGUGAAAGCCUUGGGCUUAACCUGAGAAGUGCAUCGCAAACUGGUGAACUGGAGUAGAUGAGAGGGUGGCGGAAUUUCCGGUGUAGCGGUGAAAUGCGUAGAGAUCGGAAGGAACGUCAAUGGCGAAGGCAGCCACCUGGCAUCAUACUGACGCUGAGGCGCGAGAGCGUGGGGAGCGAACAG